UACGUAGGGUGCAAGCGUUGUCCGGAAUUAUUGGGCGUAAAGAACUUGUAGGCGGUUUGUCGCGUCUGCUGUGAAAUUUCGGGGCUCAACCCCGAACUUGCAGUGGGUACGGGCAGACUAGAGUGUGGUAGGGGAGACUGGAAUUCCUGGUGUAGCGGUGAAAUGCGCAGAUAUCAGGAGGAACACCGAUGGCGAAGGCAGGUCUCUGGGCCAUAACUGACGCUGAGAAGCGAAAGCAUGGGGAGCGAACAGG
rnacentral:rRNA from 1 species